AAGGCGAUAACGAAUCUUAAAGUUGCUGCGGUUAAAAAGUUCGUAGUUGGAUCUCGGAAUCGAGC